GUAUAGCUCAAAGUGUAGAGCACAUGCUUAGCAUGCACGAGGUUCUGGGUUCAAUCCCCAGCAC
rnacentral:tRNA from 1 species